rnacentral:rRNA from 1 species
GACGUAGGGGGCCAGCGUUGCUCGGAAUUACUGGGCGUAAAGGGUCCGUAGGCGGUGCGGUAAGUCGGGAGUGAAAUCUCUGGGCUUAACUCAGAGGCUGCUUCCCGAAACUACCGUGCUAGAGUGCGAGAGAGGCAAGUGGAAUUGCGGGUGUAGCGGUGAAAUGCGUAGAUAUCCGCAGGAACAUCCGAGGCGAAAGCGGCUUGCUGGAUCGCAACUGACGCUGAGGGACGAAAGCUAGGGGAGCAAACAGG